AACGUAGGGUGCAAGCGUUGUCCGGAAUUACUGGGUGUAAAGGGAGCGCCGGCGGAUUGGCAAGUUGGGAGUGAAAUCUAUGGGCUCAACCCAUAAAUUGCUUUCAAAACUGUCAGUCUUGAGUGGUGUAGAGGUAGGCGGAAUUCCCGGUGUAGCGGUGGAAUGCGUAGAUAUCGGGAGGAACACCAGUGGCGAAGGCGGCCUACUGGGCACUAACUGACGCUGAGGCUCGAAAGCAUGGGUAGCAAACAGG
rnacentral:rRNA from 1 species